rnacentral:tRNA from 1 species
GUCCCCAUCGUCUAGUCAGGCCUAGGACACCGCCCUUUCAAGGCGGCAACACGGGUUCAAAUCCCGUUGGGGACGCCA